rnacentral:misc_RNA from 1 species
AACAAUAACAACCAGUAGAUGAAGCAAUGAAAAGAAAGCUCCCAAUCAAAUUCUAUUGAUGAACAAAAGAUAAGGGAAAGAGAAGGCACGUUAGAUUGAUUUUAAAGGCAUUUGCCAUAUAUGAAUUCACCUCCAAUGUUGUUAAAGCUUAAUUAAAUUCCCCCAGAUUGCACUUAGUCAUUAAACCAAACAGGAAAUCUAAAUCUAGAAAUUAAUUACAAUUUGCUGUUUUGUGUAGUAAGCCAUCUAAGCUUUUCAUGUUUCAUGGUGGAUUCUGAAUUUUGAUCAAAGACAGAGAAGAAUUACAACAUGUUCAUACAAUUACACAAGCUAUUAUAUUUACAGCAGCAGUAUAAUUGUAAUAUUUUUCAGGAAAAGCUUGGACACAAUCACUUGCUCAAAAUCAAGUGACUUUCUUAUAAAAGGAAUUCAGAAUCAUACAAACAUGUGAAUAUGAAUAAUAAUGCAAAUAACUGAAAGUUCUAUUCUUUUUCUUUGAAUGCGACCAAAUAGAUCACUAGAGAGCAGCGUGCUUAUCCAGUAGUUUGCCAGGAAGCUGAUCUGGAUGCCUUCAAGCUAUCAAUUAUCAACAUGAAAUUCUAGAUAUAUCCAAAAUGCCAAGUACAGUGGCAGCCUGGAUCACAAACAAAUGCAAGAAAUCGACCUAUUCCAUCCAAUAACCAUCACCAUUUUACCCCACAGAGAUGUAAGGUUAGAUUAAAUUCAGCUUCCUCAAGGGUUUCAACCUAGGGCACCACAGCUUCAUCCCUUGUCCUCCUUUUUGGUUUAAAGAAAUUUAUAUAUUGGAAUUCUGACCUAAAAUUGGAUUGAAUAAAGCAGCCAAAAAAUGGUUGCUGCUAGUAUAGCUGAGGGCAGGAAGACCAAAUACCUCCACAACCAGAAAAGAAACAAAGAAUCAUAAAUUCAGGACAAGCAUAGAGACACCAAAAAGAAAGGGAACUGCCCAAUUUGAAGAUUAAGGCUAAUGUAACAACAGGAGAUAAGAUUGACAAAUGAAAAGAGAGAACUUUGUUCUCCCUCCAAUAAAAAUAAUUAAAAAUCAAUAUCUGAAUUAGUUCCUUUUGUGUUCCAGUUGCUGGGAAUUCAAUAUAUAAAGUUACACACAGGAGAAAGUUAGAGAGAAUUUUCUAUAACCACCCCACUAGUAACAAUUCAAAGCCAAAAAAAUAUAAAAAGAGGAAAAGAGCAUAACCCUUUGUUCUACUGUCCUGUACAAUACAAUUUAUCCAAAUUCUCUUCUUUCCUUCCAUUAAAAAUCUAGUCGAAAUUGAACAUUAAAGUGAAAGUAAUAAAGCAAAAGGAGAAGAAAGAACCGCACCAUUGUUUGUGGCAAUAAAAAUGAAUCUUUUAGCUUUUAUCUUUCAAUGGGUUGUAACCUUGGAUCUCUUCUUUGCCUCGCUGUAAAGCACCACGCCCAUGAUCGUAACUGCGAAUCCUGUCAUUCCCAUUACAGUCACCGGAUUCCUAAAGAUCAAGACCGAAACAACAGCAGCCACCGCAGCCUUGGCAUUGCCUAGCACUUGCAGAGUCAGGGCACUCGUGUGCUUGGUCACCAAAAAAUUUGUCAAAUUCACCAAAUAAGCCACCGUUGCAUUCCCAAUCAACAAGAACACAAUAAAGGGAUCCACUCUUGCUUUCUCCAUUGUAAUUGCUGCCACAUUCCCUUCAAUGUAAAGGGUAAAUGGUAACAAAAUCAAAGCAGCCAUUGGUGCCAUAUAGAGCAACAAAUUCAUAGAAUGGAGCUUCUCAGCUUCUGAGGUUAAUAAAAUUCCUUGAACCACAGACUUCAAAGCACGCCCAGCAGUAGAACCAACACAAACCAAGAACCCAAAUAAAUGAAACAGAGGCUCACUAUUACUAGCCAAAACGAUCCCAAAAACCACAGGCAAAAGCGCACAAUAAACCUCGGCAGAUUCCUUCUUGCAAGUUAUUAUGAAUGAAAAAAUGGCAGUGAAAAAUGGCGUAGUUGCUCCAAUAGCUUGGUUAAACGACACCGGCAAGUACCUCAAAGAAGUAUUACCACAAACCACAGAGAAACAGAAAAUUGCACUUAAAGCGAAGAUCUUUAAGAACUGCCUCCUGGAUAAAAUAUGCUGCAACGGCACAAUUUCAAGAAACUUUAUAGCCACAUAACUAUAACAGGCGCAAGAAAUCAUGUGCAGCAUUGUUAGGAAUAUUGGAAAGCGGUAGCCAUAGAAGCUGAGGAGGUACUUGUUGAGGAGCAGAACACCAAUGUUGGAGAAGUACCAUGAAGCAAUGAUCAAGGCCGUUAAAAUAUUAGGAGAGAAAUAUGAUCCGGGGGUGGAGUAAGCAUUAUUCCGUACAUCACCAGGUGGGGUAGCCGGAAUGUCAAGAACUUGGUCAUUGGUGGUAGCCAAGGUGGUGGAGUUGGCAUCCAGCCUGGGGUUGCUCAUUCUCCUCGUAGCCCAUGUCUGUGCCUCCACCAUCUCCGGCCAAAGGGGCAAAAUGGGUAAUAGAAAAAACUCCUCUCUCACUAAAAUGUGGGAGGUGUGUGUGCGCGCAGAGAGAGAGAGAGAGAAAUCAAAGAGCAAGUUUGUGUAUCCUGUUAGAUCUGAGAGGGAUGAGGAUGAUGAUGUUUUUUGUGUUGUGUGGAUCUGAAUGGACGGUUGAGAUUUAGAUUUGGUGUGGGAAAAUGAUUAUGACCGUUGGAUGAGAGAGAGUAUGGAAGGAGAAAAAAACAUCAUUAGAUUCCUCGUGAAGAGAGCUUAAUGUUAGAGUCAGAGUGUCGGUGUGU